AAACAAGACUGUGUGUGUUCUAAGUUCCAUGCACCAAGACGUGACGAUUGGUGACGGCAGAAAGAAGAAACGCCACAUGAUAACAGACUAUAACCACAUGAAGCCCAGCGCAUGCUUCCAAUGCAGGGGAAACAAAUUCUGUCGAGGAUACCUACAUUGGCACUACCAUUAUGCAGAUCCACUUUAGAGAAGCUGAACAUGAAAGGUCAUUCCAUGAUGCAUCAGUUUGUACAUGAACGCAGUCCUCUUCACCCCACUUUAUCCGGUUGUUCUACUACCCAGUUCCUGACAAGUCAGUGAACAAGAGAAUUAUUAUAUUUUACAAAAGACUAGUUUGACUAAACCCACUGACAGCUCAGCCCACCAGUGAGCUUAUUUCUGCAUGAAACUAUGCCUGCUGGAAAUUGAGUAAAAGUAAUAAAUUCAAUCAAAGUGUACGUUCCGAAAGUACAUGCUAUGAACUUCCAAACCAGUUUUCCUUGCUGAACAUAUUAUCAGGUGGGUAGGAGAAUUUAUAAGGACUUUGGAAAACAGAAGAGCAGUGUGCUGAGAACCUGAACAACAUUCUCU
ensembl:lncRNA